AAACUCAAUAAAAAAUAAAAGUUAGGCAAAAAUAUAGGGAAUUUAGUUUAAUAAUAGAUUAUUUUGAACCAGCUAUCUGAUCUUUCAAAGUUUUAAUUUUACUAUUUAAUCUUUUAAUUUGUUUGAUUUGAGUUAGUCGAUGAUAUUCUGAUAUUAAAAUUUAAAUUCGAUAUUUAUUUUUACGAGUUUAGUUAAUGUACUCCAUACAAUUCUUACUAUUAUAAAUUUAUUAAACUAAAUAAUUAUCUUAAAAUUUGAUUAUCAACUGAAAUCAAAUAAAUUAAAAAAUUGGACUGACGCAAAAUAGUAC
rnacentral:lncRNA from 1 species